rnacentral:misc_RNA from 1 species
CAUGCUUUUAUGAGGGUGCUUCCU